rnacentral:rRNA from 1 species
UACGUAGGGUCCGAGCGUUGUCCAGAAUUACUGGGCGUAAAGAGCUCGUAGGUGGUUUGUCGCGUUGUUCGUGAAAACUCACAGCUCAACUGUGGGCGUGCGGGCGAUACGGGCAGACUAGAGUACUGCAGGGGAGACUGGAAUUCCUGGUGUAGCGGUGAAAUGCGCAGAUAUCAGGAGGAACACCGGUGGCGAAGGCGGGUCUCUGGGCCGAUACUGACGCUGAGGAGCGAAAGCGUGGGGAGCGAACAGG